AGUAAAAAUUAAAUAAUCUUGUGGAAAUUUUAAUUUAAAAAAAAAGAGAAUGUAAAUGAGAAAACAAUAGGAGAAGGAUGAAUGUAACAACCUACAUUAAAUAAUAAUAACAAAGAACGAUAAAGAAUGAUCUUAAUUUUAAUUCGAAAAAGGAAUGCAAAUGAAGAACAAGAGGUAAUCGAACGAUCUCGAUGCAUCGAUUAUUUCAUCGAGCUGUUCAGUGAGAUUACUCAUCCGCAUAGAUAUAGAAUCUCGUCGUGGGUGGCAACUAUAAACAUACGAACUUCCCUUCGAUUGGAUCGAUUUUAGGUACUGGAUAUUUAGUAAUUUAGCUAGUAAUAUUGAAUCGAUCGAGAGAAACCAAUAGGAAGGAAGCGAUUAAUCGAAAUCGAUAUACCAUUGCGAUUCAUCGAACGAAGAAUCUUUCGAAUGAAUGCUCUUCGGUGUUUUCCUGUUCGAAGAAGAAAUAUAGGUCGAGGAGCUCUUUCUUGGAAUCAAGGUCUUGGGAUUGCCAUCAUCGAGUAAUGAAAAAUUUUCGAUGAAAUGGACGAAAGACUUGGACCAGAUUUAUUAAUUAUAAUAACUCACACUUGGCAGUCAACUUUGUUUACUGAUUCUCUAUUUAUGUAAUUUUACGCGGCUUUAAAUAAACGCGUGAAUGUGAAGCUAAGAACUUUCAGGAAAUUCUACUGAAAGAUGACCAAGGAAUUCAAUCUUUGUAAAUAAGAUAUUGAUGUAUUAUUAACAAGUUUGGGAAAAAUUUAAAUACAAUAUUUAAAAUUUACCAUACACACACACA